rnacentral:rRNA from 1 species
UACGUAGGUGGCAAGCGUUGUCCGGAAUUAUUGGGCGUAAAGCGCGCGCAGGCGGUCCUUUAAGUCUGAUGUGAAAGCCCACGGCUCAACCGUGGAGGGUCAUUGGAAACUGGUCAACUUGAGUGCAGAAGAGGGAAGUGGAAUUCCAUGUGUAGCGGUGAAAUGCGUAGAGAUAUGGAGGAACACCAGUGGCGAAGGCGGCUUCCUGGUCUGUAACUGACACUGAGGCGCGAAAGCGUGGGGAGCAAACAGG